UACGUAGGGUGCAAGCGUUGUCCGGAAUUAUUGGGCGUAAAGAGCUCGUAGGCGGUUUGUCGCGUCUGCUGUGAAAACUCGGGGCUUAACUCCGGGCCUGCAGUGGGUACGGGCAGACUAGAGUGCGGUAGGGGAGACUGGAAUUCCCGGUGUAGCGGUGAAAUGCGCAGAUAUCAGGAAGAACACCUAUGGCGAAGGCAGCUCUCUGGGACGGUACUGACGCUGAGACGCGAAAGCGUGGGGAGCGAACAGG
rnacentral:rRNA from 1 species